rnacentral:tRNA from 1 species
GGGUCUGUGGCUCAGCAGUAGAGUGCUUGCCUUGCAUGCAUGAGGCCCUGGGUUUGAUUCCUCAGCACCA